rnacentral:lncRNA from 1 species
GCUGAGGGUUAUAGCAUGUUGGCUGUUACUAAGAAUUUUGGGGGGAAGGGGAAGGCACCUAGGGAGUGCUUAGGCAAGAGGCCUGCGGGCAUAUAUUACCCGUAGUAGUUUGUCUAUGCACACUAGGAAAGACCUGGGUGGACCAUCCCCUGUAUUUUGGUUAGUGCACCAGGUGGUGCUAGUUAGAUAAACCAUACUUCAUACAAAGCCAACCAAGCCUCAAUUCAAGACAAGUAAUGUCAACUGUCAAUCAUUCCCUGCCAUGUAUCAUCUCUAAUAAAUUAAUCUUUAGACUUUUAAACUGAACUGCAUCUGCUCUUUAACUGGAAUCCUACAGAAGACGGGCGUCACCAUAACUCACCUAAACCUUAAUCGGUUAUAGUCUAUAAACCAAAGUUUUGGUCAGUGUUUGCCUGGGCACCAUUAUUAGGAAAUAACUAGAAAUGUAUAAAAG